rnacentral:tRNA from 1 species
AAAGCUUUAAGUUAAAUAAACUAUUAACCUUCAAAGUUAAAGAUAUGAAAUAGUUCAUAAGCUUUA